ACGGGUGAGUAAUGCCUAGGAAUCUGCCUGGUAGUGGGGGAUAACGUUCGGAAACGGACGCUAAUACCGCAUACGUCCUACGGGAGAAAGCAGGGGACCUUAUGGCCUUGCGCUAUCAGAUGAGCCUAGGUCGGAUUAGCUAGUUGGUGAGGUAAUGGCUCACCAAGGCGACGAUCCGUAACUGGUCUGAGAGGAUGAUCAGUCACACUGGAACUGAGACACGGUCCAGACUCCUACGGGAGGCAGCAGUGGGGAAUAUUGGACAAUGGGCGAAAGCCUGAUCCAGCCAUGCCGCGUGUGUGAAGAAGGUCUUCGGAUUGUAAAGCACUUUAAGUUGGGAGGAAGGGCAGUUACCUAAUACGUGAUUGUUUUGACGUUACCGACAGAAUAAGCACCGGCUAACUCUGUGCCAGCAGCCGCGGUAAUACAGAGGGUGCAAGCGUUAAUCGGAAUUACUGGGCGUAAAGCGCGCGUAGGUGGUUUGUUAAGUUGGAUGUGAAAUCCCCGGGCUCAACCUGGGAACUGCAUUCAAAACUGACUGACUAGAGUAUGGUAGAGGGUGGUGGAAUUUCCUGUGUAGCGG
rnacentral:rRNA from 1 species